rnacentral:rRNA from 1 species
UACGUAGGGUGCAAGCGUUGUCCGGAAUUAUUGGGCGUAAAGAGCUCGUAGGCGGUUUGUCGCGUCUGCUGUGAAAACCCGAGGCUCAACCUCGGGCCUGCAGUCGAUACGGGCAAACUAGAGUGCGGUAGGGGAGACUGGAAUUCCUGGUGUAGCGGUGAAAUGCGCAGAUAUCAGGAGGAACACCGGCGGCGAAGGCGGGUCUCUGGGCCGUAACUGACGCUGAGGAGCGAAAGCGUGGGGAGCGAACAGG